rnacentral:snRNA from 1 species
AGAUGUGAGGAUGAUUUAUCUGGGACAUGUCACCCUAUUGAUUGCCAUGGUUGAUUCUGCUCAUCUGGCUGGCUAGGUGGGCGUCCAUCCUUACAUGCUCCAUGUGUGUCCCUCCUGAAGCUGCGUGCUCAGUUAAAGAGGAUGAGUACCUCUGAAAGAGGAGGACUGUCCCUCCAUCAAGGGUAUAGAGUAGCUGCACUCCCCUGCGAGAACUUCCAAACAAGCUCUCAAGGAAACCAAGGCAGUUGGAUCAUGAGGCCAGCCAGCUUGGAUGAUAUAGUAAGAUACUGACUCAAAACAAACAAACAAGCAAACCUAAGCAGCAUGGAGAAUGUUU